UACAGAGGUGGCAAGCGUUGUUCGGAAUUACUGGGCGUAAAGGGCGCGUAGGCGGCUUUCUAAGUCAGACGUGAAAUCCCCAGGCUUAACUUGGGAACUGCGUCUGAUACUGGGAGGCUUGAGUGCGGGAGAGGGAUGUGGAAUUCCAGGUGUAGCGGUGAAAUGCGUAGAUAUCUGGAGGAACACCGGUGGCGAAGGCGGCAUCCUGGACCGACACUGACGCUGAGGCGCGAAAGCUAGGGGAGCAAACGGG
rnacentral:rRNA from 1 species